ensembl:lncRNA
CACACGGAGUAACAAGGGAGAGGUGGGCAGAGCUGAGCCCAGUGCCCAGAAACGUGGAGUCGGCCAGGGGUGCCAUGCUUCUGGAGGUGGGGAGGGCCCGAAAUAACAGUCUUCCCCCUGUCACUCGACAAGUGUGGCCCGCUGGGAGGGAAUCUUGCCCAAGCACUCCUGUUCUCCAGGACCACCUAUGGUUGCAGCCCUCAGUGCCUGCUGCCUGCCUCUUCCCUGGAGGCCAAGGUGAGUGAGCCCAGCAGGGAGAGAAACCUCCUGGCUUCACUAGGAGUGGAUGCGAUCAGAAACCAUCCAUCCCGACGCUGGUUCUCAUGCUGGAAGGGUUGUGAGAACACCUGGAGGGCUCACUCAAAGCCGGCUGUAGGGCCCCGCCCUGAAUCUCUGAUCUUGCACAUCUGGGGUGGGGCUUGAGCAUUUGCAACUCCAACAAGCUCCUGGUGCUCCUGCCGCUGCUGGUACAGAAACCCCACAGUAAGAGCGCUGCUCUAGAGGCCUAAGACUCCUAGGUGUGUGCCCCCUGCCUUUCUCCUGGACUGGCUCUCUGCAGGGUCCCGGCAGGGUUGGGAGAAGCAUGGAGGCUGGUGGCUCUCGCGAGAUCUGUGGCUUCCCGUUGAGCAGUCGUCACCCUUCCCUGCCUGAAGCUGAAGGAGGGGGCUGUCCACAGCCCAGGCUGGAUCAGGUGUCAGGAGACGUAAGGAGAUGCGGGUUCAAUCCUUGAGUCGGGAAGACCCGUGGAGGAGGGCAUGGCAACCCACUGCAAGAUUCUUGCCUGGAGAAUCCCACGGACAGAGGAGCCUGGUGGACUACAAUCCAUGGGAUUGCGAAGAGUCGGACACGACUGAAGUACCUUAGCACACACGCAAGGGGGUUGUCUGCCCAGGAACUGCCCUGACAGUUGUCUGGUCUGCAGGUGUGGUCAGCCUUCUCUCGCUGGUGGGAAGCCACUGCCUUUCCUGCCACACGUUCCUCACCAAGAGGAUCUCCCAGCUCCUGGGUGAUGCUGUCCAGACCUCCUCAACACCCAGCGCCACCACCCACUUCUUUGGCCAGUCUUUGCCGAGGCUGGUGUGUCUUUGGCUCCAGGAUGGCCCGCCAUCCAGUUGGAGCCACAGAUGAAAAGCAAUGCCAGUGUCCAGCUGCCCCAUGUGCCCAGAACCAGCAGCUCUGGAACCCCAGCCCCUGAGUACAUUCUUGCAGUGGG